UAGGCGUAAAUGAUGCGAGUUAAGUGUGGGGGCAUCUACGAGAUGGCCCUGUGCCGUAGGGUAGCCGUUAAACUCGCUGCCUGGGGAGUACGGUCGCAAGGCUGAAACUUAAAGGAAUUGGCGGGGGAGGCACCGCAACGGGAGGAGCGUGCGGUUCAAUUGGAUUCAACGCCGGACAACUCACCAGGAGCGACGGUUACAUGAAGGCCAGGCUGAUGACCUUGCCUGAUUUUCCGAGAGGAGGUGCAUGGCCGUAGUCGUGU
rnacentral:rRNA from 1 species